GAACCUGAAACCCUGUACGUACAAGCAGUAGGAGCGAGGGCAACCUUGUGACUGCGUACCUUUUGUAUAAUGGGUCAGCGACUUAUAUUUUGUAGCGAGGUUAACUGAAUAAGGGAGCCGAAGGGAAACCGAGUCUUAACUGGGCGUUGAGUUGCAAGGUAUAGACCCGAAACCCGGUGAUCUAGCCAUGGGCAGGUUGAAGGUUGGGUAACACUAACUGGAGGACCGAACCGACUAAUGUUGAAAAAUUAGCGGAUGACUUGUGGCUGGGGGUGAAAGGCCAAUCAAACCGGGAGAUAGCUGGUUCUCCCCGAAAUCUAUUUAGGUAGAGCCUUGAGCGGACACCUUCGGGGGUAGAGCACUGUUUCGGC
rnacentral:rRNA from 1 species